rnacentral:rRNA from 1 species
AACUGCGAGUGAAGAGGGAACAGCUCAUCAUUGGAAUCAGGCAGGGCUUGACUCUGUCCGAGUUGUAGAUGAGACGAGUAGGUUCAUCUGGACUGCAUGGCACUCAAGUACGAUAAUGCCCAUCAGUGGGACAUCAUAGAGGGUGACAAUCCCGUCUUUGGUGCCGAUGUUCGAGUCCUUUACGAUGCCUAUCUCAGGAGAGUCGAGCAGUUUGGGAUUUGCUGCUUCAACACGGGAGGUAGACACCUUCUAAAGCUAAAUAUUGGCAAGAGACCGAUAGUGGACAAGUACCGCAAGGGAAAGAUGAAAUAGCACUCUGUAAAGGGAGUCAAAAAGACGUGAAAUUGUUGCGAGAGAAGCGAUUCGAGUCAGCUUGACUAGGACCAUCGACGAUAUUUCUUCCUCUGGACUAGUCUCGCCAGCGGUCUCAUCUUCUUUUUAGGGGUUUGACCGAUGCGCCCUCAGCGGUGCGGCUGGUGGAAUGGCUUG